rnacentral:rRNA from 1 species
CCUACGGGAGGCAGCAGUGGGGAAUAUUGCACAAUGGGCGAAAGCCUGAUGCAGCGACGCCGCAUGAGGGAUGACGGCCUUCGGGUUGUAAACCUCUUUCAGCAGGGAAGAAGCGAAAGUGACGGUACCUGCAGAAGAAGCGCCGGCUAACUACGUGCCAGCAGCCGCGGUAAUACGUAGGGCGCAAGCGUUGUCCGGAAUUAUUGGGCGUAAAGAGCUCGCAGGCGGCUUGUUGCGUCGGUUGUGAAAGCCCGGGGCUUAACCCCGGGUCUGCAGUCGAUACGGGCAGGCUAGAGUGUGGUAGGGGAGAUCGGAAUUCCUGGUGUAGCGGUGAAAUGCGCAGAUAUCAGGAGGAACACCGGUGGCGAAGGCGGAUCUCUAGGCCAUUACUGACGCUGAGGAGCGAAAGCGUGGGGAGCGAACAGGAUUAGAUACCCUGGUAGUCCACGACCGUAACGUUAGGUAACGUAGGUAGUUGGUCGACAUCUACGUCGUCGGUGCCGCNGCUACGCAUAACGUUACCCGUCCGUCGGGAGGUACGGCCGCGACGGACGUAAACGUUAAACGGUAAAGUUAGUACGGUUCGUUGUAGACGUUGCCGAACGGACGACGACGAGGGAGGAGG